GGUGAGAUGGCUCAGUGGUAAGAGCACUUGAUGCUCUUGCAGAGGACAUGAGUUUGGUUCUCAUUGGCCCCA
rnacentral:tRNA from 1 species